ensembl:lncRNA
UGUUAUCAUGUGCAGAGUGCGGGAUUGUGUCCAUGUCAGCGGUGAAACUUGACACUAUCUGGUCUUUGUCCCCAUCUCAGGUCAAGAUCUAGAAGUGGAGACCGAUACAGGGAUGGAGGCAGCUCGUCCUCCCAUCGUUCAAGACGGCACCACUCAUCUCGUUCCAGAGAAGAGGGUGGAGAUCGGGACCGGGAACGAGAGAGGAAGCAUCGGCACAAGGACAGGCACCGCUCACGAUCCCACUCUCACAGGAGCAAGAGGAAGAGGUCCUCCAGAGACAGAUCAUCUCACACCCGCGACAGAGAUGGCUCCCCGUCCCAGGAGAGAUGGAGAGAGAGCACAGCGGAGGGUUGGCGUGACGACAGGGCCGAGUACGGAGACAGGGAGAACAGGGAGAACAGGGAGAACAGGGAGAGGUCCACCUCCCCGGAGACGGCCAAGGGCAGGGAACGAGAGCGAUCCCUGUCAUAUGAGAGGGAUAGACGCUCCAGCUCUGAAGAGAGAGAGUCAGGAGAGAUUUGAGAGGGACGGAUGCCUGCAAAGUUUGAUUUGGAAAUUUUGUUGAGUUGCAGGAGCGGGGAGAGCUGAUUGUGUGGGUGAGGAUGUGUAUGUGUCAGUGCUGUAUGUGUUCAUGUUAAAGAUGGGACAUUACUUUAGUGGUAUGGGGAGGGGGGGUGGAGGGGGUGGAAGGCGGAAACUUUACACGGGGGUGACCAACUAAAUGGUGGCGGUCAAGGUCAUACGCAAAGCAAGUUUUAUAUGUAAGACAGUAACUUUGAAAUGUGGUGAGUGGAUGGGAAAGACCUAGGAAGGCUUGAGUGACCAGGAAACUACUUUUAAUUUUUUUUUUUUUUUUUUUUUUUUUUUUUUUAAUGCCAUCUUGUCAAUCUUAUGUACAAUUGAUUGGACAACGAUGAGGGAUUGGGAGAGUGAUAGAAACUGAAGACCUACCUUAAGUCUGUUUUAUUUCACUUAAGGGAAGUGCUGUUCUUUUUUUUUUAUCAUUAGUAUGACCUUCAGUGUUGUUAAUACUGUUGUUUUUUUCCUGUGUUCCAUUAGGAAUCUGGUAUCUGUUUCAUGAGGUUUAGUAGCUAUGGAUUUAUUUGCAUUGGUUAAAAGGUGGACUCAUUGAUGUGGCUUCAUGCCCGCAGUAAUGUUUGAAGUGAGUUGUGAAUGACUUAAAGGCACUUUUUGAUGUUUGUGCUUUGUUAUCUGCCUUCAGAAACUAACAGUCUCAUUUUGAAUAGAAAGUACGCCCUGGGUGUAGGAAAUCUGUCACACAUCGUUGAGCCUGCCUUUAAAAUCAAGACACAGUGACGAUCUCGUGCAUUAAAUAAACACACACUUGUCCCCUGGAAGAAGUCCACCAAGUCUUUCCGCUCGAUUCCGGACAUGUAAAUGCAUAUUAGGAGACAUACAUUUUUAGGAGCUGGUACUUAAGUUGAGGCCCACUGAACAGACCUGUGUCCUUUUUGCUGUGAUACAACUUGGAUAUAUUGGGAUCUGUACAUUGCUGUGCCAUCUACUAUAAAGUGAAUAAAAUUUUCUGCUUCCACUGAAAUACACGGAGUUGCUCAUGCAGAUGUUUGUCAUUUACUCCUUCACAGUUUUAUUUGUGCAUUGAU